rnacentral:rRNA from 1 species
AUUGAACGCUGGCGGCAGGCUUAACACAUGCAAGUCGAGCGGAGAUGAGGUGCUUGCACCUUAUCUUAGCGGCGGACGGGUGAGUAAUGCUUAGGAAUCUGCCUAUUAGUGGGGGACAACAUUCCGAAAGGAAUGCUAAUACCGCAUACGUCCUACGGGAGAAAGCAGGGGAUCUUCGGACCUUGCGCUAAUAGAUGAGCCUAAGUCGGAUUAGCUAGUUGGUGGGGUAAAGGCCUACCAAGGCGACGAUCUGUAGCGGGUCUGAGAGGAUGAUCCGCCACACUGGGACUGAGACACGGCCCAGACUCCUACGGAGGCAGCAGUGGGGAAUAUUGGACAAUGGGGGGAACCCUGAUCCAGCCAUGCCGCGUGUGUGAAGAAGGCCUUAUGGUUGUAAAGCACUUUAAGCGAGGAGGAGGCUCUUUUGGUUAAUACCCAAGAUGAGUGGACGUUACUCGCAGAAUAAGCACCGGCUAACUCUGUGCCAGCAGCCGCGGUAA